rnacentral:rRNA from 1 species
GACGAACGCUGGCGGCGUGCUUAACACAUGCAAGUCGAACGGAAAGGCCCUGCUUUUGUGGGGUGCUCGAGUGGCGAACGGGUGAGUAACACGUGAGUAACCUGCCCUUGACUUUGGGAUAACUUCAGGAAACUGGGGCUAAUACCGGAUAGGAGCUCCUGCUGCAUGGUGGGGGUUGGAAAGUUUCGGCGGUUGGGGAUGGACUCGCGGCUUAUCAGCUUGUUGGUGGGGUAGUGGCUUACCAAGGCUUUGACGGGUAGCCGGCCUGAGAGGGUGACCGGGCAAAGGGGGAGUGAGAUACGGCCGAGACUCGUAGGGGAGGCAGCAGUGGGGAAUAUUGCACGAUGGGGGGAAGCCGGAUGCAGCAACGCGGCGUGCGGGAUGAAGGCCUUUGUGUUGAGAACAGCUGUCGCCUGUGACGAGGCGGGAUUGACGGUAAUGGGUUAAGAAGCACCGGCUAACUACGUG